rnacentral:rRNA from 1 species
AAUCAACGCUGGCGGCGUGCCUCAGACAUGCAAGUCGAACGCGAAAGUCUCCUUCGGGGGACAAGUAGAGUGGCGCACGGGUGAGUAACACGUAGGUAAUCUACCUUCGGAUGGGGAAUAACAACCGGAAACGGUUGCUAAUACCGCAUAAUGCAGCGGCACCUAAUGGUGACAGUUGUUAAAGCGGGGGAUCGAAAGACCUCGCGUCUGAAGAGGAGCCUGCGGCGGAUUAGCUAGUGGUAGGGUAACGGCCUACCAAGGCGACGAUCCGUAGCCGGCCUGAGAGGGUGGUCGGCCACACUGACACUGACAUACGGGUCUGACUCCUACGGGAGGCAGCAGUCGGGAAUUUUGGGCAAUGGGCGAAAGCCUGACCCAGCAACGCCGCGUGAAGGAUGAAAUCCCUCGGGAUGUAAACUUCGCAAGAACGGGAAGAAUAAGCGAGAGUAAAUAUCUUUUCGCGA